rnacentral:rRNA from 1 species
GACGAACGCUGGCGGCGUGCUUAACACAUGCAAGUCGAACGGAGUGGUGAACGGGUGAGUAACACGUGGGUGACCUGCCUUGCCCUUCGGGCUAAGCUUGGGAAACUGGGUCUAAUACCGGAUAGUGCAAGAUGAGCUCGCGGCCUAUCAGCUUUUUGGUGGGGUAAUGGCCUACUAAGGCGUCGACGGGUAGCCGGCCUGCGGGGGUGUACGGCAACAUUGGGACUGAGAAACGGCGCAGAGUCCUACGGGAGGCAGCAGGGGGGAAUAUUGCACAUUGGGCGGAAGCCUGAUGCAGCGACGCCGCGGGGGAGAUGAAGGCCUUCGGGUUGUAAACUCCUUUGGACAGGGACGCGGUACCUGUAUAAGAAGCACCGGCUAACUACGUGCCAGCAGCCGCGGUAAUUC